ACAGAAUUUAUGGAUACCUCCGUCAGUUUGCAUCUCAUCCAAAAGUCUUUUCUUCAUUCUUUCUUUAUAAAAGAUAAUGGAUCAUUUGGUACAGAUUUGUUAGCUGAUGUAACAUUAAGCUCAUUUAAAAGGUGCCAUCAUUGAAAGUCCAGUUUAUAUCCAACCGACAGACUCACUCACACUUCAUUUCCCUCCAGUUUGAUGAACCGAAUAAAGCCUUUAGGUUCAACAUGACUCAGUAGACCUGAACCAUGAGGCCACUUCUUUUUUUGAUUAAUACACAGGACAACCAACAUUUUAAAAUCAUAUGAUCUGCUACAAAGAGGAAAUGAAAGUUCAAUAUUUAAAAAAAAUAAAAAGCAGCCAAUGUUAAAUAAGAAAAUCCAUUCACAAACUCUGGAAAACAACAGUAUCAGAAAUUUAAAAGAACGUCUGGAUUCCUGAAAGUAAAUGUUGCUUCAAAACGAUUCACAACAGCAUAAAGGAAACCUAAUUUAAAGCUUCAAAAAGACCUUUCACAAAACGUUAUGCCCAUUUUAAUUCUACUAAAAAUCACUGCGUUUCACAAACUGCAAUGCAAUCAUUCUACAGAAUGAACAAAUGUUUAGAGAAAAUGCAUCCGUCUUGACUGUCACCAUGCAGAGAAUUGCUGAUUUUCCAGCUUCAUGCGGCAGAACGAGCAUUUCCCAUUUCUUCUCCUCUACAAGGAGGAGAUCAUUUUUCCUCCUUUAGCUCAUUUCUGAGUUCCAAUCUUUAGCUUGUUCAUCUUUUUUGCAGAGAUCUGCUGAAAGCAAUGGUUCCAUGUGCUGAGCUGUGCGAUACUAAAUAACAACAAAACCACACGUUUUAGGAAGUGACUUGAAUGAGUGUCGACGGCUCCUAACUUCUCCUUCGGUCUGGAGAUCUCACUAGAGAUCUGGAGUAAAGGGGCGGAGUCAUGUGAUUGCACAACUGUUCUGUUGGGAAUAGGCCCAAAAUGACCAGAAGGACGAUGAGAAGUCGUCUGAAAAUACAAAACAGGAUCUUCAAGCUGAUCUGCAGACAACCAAAACCACUGGAACCUUUUUUCACAGAACAGACAUGAGAAAGCAGGAGUGCAGGUUUCCUAAGGAACAUCUGAAGGACUCAGAGAAGAUCAGGUCCGCUUAUUUGGCAUCAAUACUAUGUUUGAAGGAGAAAGGCGUUUUUCUGCUCAAGGGGCUGAACGGGGGCUGAACGGGGGCUGAACAGAGGCGCAGUGGUUAGCGUUCUGGCCUCUGGCUGGUGUCUUUCUGUAUGCAGUCUGCCUGUUCUCCUCAUGCAUGUGUGGGUUUUCUCUGGCCACUCUGCCUUCCUCCUACAGUCUCACAGCCUGCUUCAUAGGUUAUUUAGUGUCUCUACACCGUCCCUAUAAAUCCAUGUGAGUGUGUGAGCCCGUGACAGACCGGUGACCUGUGUACUGCUCUGUCACCCAACAGUAGCUGGGUUUCCUCCAGCAGCCCUGUGACCCUGAAAUAGUCAGCAGGUUCUGAUGAUGGAUGGAUGCAGUGGGUCAGCUGCACCACAGUAAUGGAGUCACCAAAGAUUCACCAAAUGUUGAGUUAAAACUUUCUUUCAAGAUUUCCCACAGAAAAUCCAGGGAGGGGGCUGAAGGUUUGAUCUCAGUCACAAAAAAAAACAAAUUACUGCAAAGACGAUAACAAAACUUGAACAUGUGAGCAAAAUUUUUUGAUACGUUUGACUUUAGAAAGUCAGCAAAAGGUUUUCCACCAAGUAGAAAGUCCUGUUUAGAGAAAUAGUGGCAUAUUUGACUCAUUUGUUGUAAGAAUGGGUAUUACUAUUAAUUUUAAUUUUUUGAUCUGCUAGAUUCAAUUUGAUUCAAUUCCAUUUUGAAUUUAAACAGUUUACACAUUUAGACAUAUUUGUAUAGAAGUACAUUCAUAAUUAAAGAUAUUCAUAUUAAUCUGAUACAGUUCACAUACUGUAAAAGUUAUUAGUGAAAUAAUAAAUCAAUGAGAUCAUUUACACCAGACAGUAUUACAUGCGUUCUCAAACAGAGAAGCUCCAACAAAAAUAAAUAAAUAAAUAAAUUACAAGAAUAACCGUUCCGCCUCUCCUGGAGGGCGUUUCUGUUUGGCCACUAGGUGGAGCUGGUGCUAUAGCAUUACACUUUAUUCCAGAAGAUUUGAGCUACAAUUACUGUGCUUUAGACCAAAAAAAUAGUAAGUUAAAAAAUGUUUCCUUAACAGAGUUUGGGAAAUUCCUGCCUGUGAGUCCAUAAAGCUUCUCUUUUAUUCAGAGAUGUAUGUUUAGGUCAAACGAACGUUAGCAUUAGCCGCCCUAUGGGAAAUUCCAUUAUCUGUUAGUAUCAAGCUAGUGGGUUUUAGCUUCACUGCUGUUAUUGUUAGAACUACACAGUAGAUGUAUCAGAGUAUAUCAGUAAUGUGCCAUGAAAACUGUCUAGCAGUUUCACAGUUGAACACCACGAUUGUUUCAAAGCUCGAUCUCACCGAAUCUCACGAGAGGAGUGUUAGAUCACCGGAAAAUUGAUCUGUUAAGUUUAGAUCGAUUCAGAUCGAUUAAUCGAUUUUAUCAACCCAGCCCUAAUUAGUGUGUAAACUGAUGUUUUCCAUGCAGGUUUCAGGGUUUUUCUGUUGCUGUUCUGUGUCUAAAUGUUGAAAUAAAUUUAAUAUUAAAAUA